rnacentral:rRNA from 1 species
GAGCCAUUUCGAUGGCUCUGAAAGUGGCGAACGGGUGAGUAACACGUAGGUGACCUGCCUCGAAGUGGGGGAUAACCACUGGAAACGGUGGCUAAUACCGCAUGGUCCUGCCAACACGGGAGUGGUGGUGGGUAAAGGGUUUACUGCUUCGAGAGGGGCCUGCGUCCGAUUAGCUGGUUGGUGGGGUAACGGCCUACCAAGGCGAAGAUCGGUAGCUGGUCUGAGAGGACGAUCAGCCACACGGGAACUGAGACACGGUCCCGACUCCUACGGGGGGCAGCAGUGAGGAAUAUUGCGCAAUGGGGGCAACCCUGACGCAGCAACGCCGCGUGGAGGAUGAAGGUCUUCGGAUUGUAAACUCCUUUUCUUGGGGAAGAGAACGGACGGUACCUGAGGAAUAAGUCACGGCUAACUACGUGCCAGCAGCCGCGGUAAUACGUAGGUGGCAAGCGUUAUCCGGAAUUACUGGGCGUAAAGCGCACGCAGGCGGCCGUUUAAGUUUGACGUGAAAGCUCCUGGCUUAACCGGGAGAGGUCGUUGAAGACUGGACGGCUUGAGACGAUGAGAGGGGUGCGGAAUUCCCGGUGUAGUGGUGGAAUGCGUAGAUAUCGGGAGGAACACCAGUGGCGAAAGCGGCACCCUGGCAUCGGUCUGACGCUCAUGUGCGAAGGCGUGGGGAGCGAACGGGAUUAGAUACCCCGGUAGUCCACGCGGUAAACGAUGAACACUGGGUUGUGGGUGGCGUAAAGCCGUCUGUGCCGAAGCAAACGCGUUAAGUG